rnacentral:rRNA from 1 species
ACUCAAAGGAAUUGACGGGGGCCCGCACAAGCGGCGGAGCAUGCGGAUUAAUUCGAUGCAACGCGAAGAACCUUACCUGGGUUUGACAUAUAGGGAAAUCCUCCAGAGAUGGGGGGUCCGUAAGGGUCCUAUACAGGUGGUGCAUGGCUGUCGUCAGCUCGUGUCGUGAGAUGUUGGGUUAAGUCCCGCAACGAGCGCAACCCUCGUCCUAUGUUGCCAGCACGUUAUGGUGGGGACUCAUAGGAGACUGCCGGGGUCAACUCGGAGGAAGGUGGGGAUGACGUCAAGUCAUCAUGCCCCUUAUGUCCAGGGCUUCACGCAUGCUACAAUGGCCGGUACAAAGGGCUGCGAAACUGCAAAGUGGAGCGAAUCCCAAAAAGCCGGUCUCAGUUCGGAUUGGGGUCUGCAACUCGACCCCAUGAAGUCGGAGUCGCUAGUAAUCGCAGAUCAGCAACGCUGCGGUGAAUACGUUCCCGGGCCUUGUACACACCGCCCGU